rnacentral:rRNA from 1 species
AAUAUUUGACAAUGGGCGAAAGCCUGAUCCAGCCAUGCCGCGUGUGUUGAGAAGGUCUUCGGAUUGUAAAUCACUUUAAGUUGGGAGGAAGGGCAGUAAGCUAAUACCUUGCUGUUUUGACGUUACCUACAGAAUUAGCACCGGCUAACUUCGUGCCAUCAGCCGCGGUAAUACGAAUGGUGCAAGCGUUAAUCGGAAUUACAGGGCGUAAAGCGCGCGUAAGUGGUUUGAUAAGUUGGAUGUGAAAGCCCCGGGCUCAACCUGGGAAUUGCAUCCAAAACUGUCAGACUAGAGUAUGGCAGAGGGUGGUGGAAUUUCCUGUGUAGCGGUGAAAUGCGUAGAUAUAGGAAGGAACACCAGUGGCGAAGGCGACCACCUGGGCUAAUACUGACACUGAGGUGCGAAAGCGUGGGGAGCAAACAGG